AUUGAACGCUGGCGGCAGGCUUAACACAUGCAAGUCGAGCGGAGCGAGGGUGCUUGCACCUUAGCUUAGCGGCGGACGGGUGAGUAAUGCUUAGGAAUCUGCCUAUUAGUGGGGGACAACAUUCCGAAAGGAAUGCUAAUACCGCAUACGCCCUACGGGGGAAAGCAGGGGACCUUCGGACCUUGCGCUAAUAGAUGAGCCUAAGUCGGAUUAGCUAGUUGGUGGGGUAAAGGCCUACCAAGGCGACGAUCUGUAGCGGGUCUGAGAGGAUGAUCCGCCACACUGGGACUGAGACACGGCCCAGACUCCUACGGGAGGCAGCAGUGGGGAAUAUUGGACAAUGGACGGAAGCCUGAUCCAGCCAUGCCGCGUGUGUGAAGAAGGCCUUUUGGUUGUAAAGCACUUUAAGCGAGGAGGAGGCUACUUAGAUUAAUACUCUGGGAUAGUGGACGUUACUCGCAGAAUAAGCACCGGCUAACUCUGUGCCAGCAGCCGCGGUAACAC
rnacentral:rRNA from 1 species